rnacentral:rRNA from 1 species
AGAGUUUGAUCCUGGCUCAGGAUGAACGCUAGCUACAGGCUUAACACAUGCAAGUCGAGGGGCAUCAGGAAGAAAGCUUGCUUUCUUUGCUGGCGACCGGCGCACGGGUGAGUAACACGUAUCCAACCUGCCGAUGACUCGGGGAUAGCCUUUCGAAAGAAAGAUUAAUACCCGAUGGUAUAUCUGAAAGGCAUCUUUCAGCUAUUAAAGAAUUUCGGUCAUUGAUGGGGAUGCGUUCCAUUAGGUUGUUGGCGGGGUAACGGCCCACCAAGCCAUCGAUGGAUAGGGGUUCUGAGAGGAAGGUCCCCCACAUUGGAACUGAGACACGGUCCAAACUCCUACGGGAGGCAGCAGUGAGGAAUAUUGGUCAAUGGACGAGAGUCUGAACCAGCCAAGUAGCGUGAAGGAUGACUGCCCUAUGGGUUGUAAACUUCUUUUAUACGGGAAUAAAGUGAGCCACGUGUGGCUUUUUGUAUGUACCGUAUGAAUAAGGAUCGGCUAACUCCGUGCCAGCAGCCGCGGUAAUACGGAGGAUCCGAGCGUUAUCCGGAUUUAUUGGGUUUAAAGGGAGCGUAGAUGGAUGUUUAAGUCAGUUGUGAAAGUUUGCGGCUCAACCGUAAAAUUGCAGUUGAUACUGGAUAUCUUGAGUGCAGUUGAGGCAGGCGGAAUUCGUGGUGUAGCGGUGAAAUGCUUAGAUAUCACGAAGAACUCCGAUUGCGAAGGCAGCCUGCUAAGCUGCAACUGACAUUGAGGCUCGAAAGUGUGGGUAUCAAACAGGAUUAGAUACCCUGGUAGUCCACACGGUAAACGAUGAAUACUCGCUGUUUGCGAUAUACGGCAAGCGGCCAAGCGAAAGCGUUAAGUAUUCCACCUGGGGAGUACGCCGGCAACGGUGAAACUCAAAGGAAUUGACGGGGGCCCGCACAAGCGGAGGAACAUGUGGUUUAAUUCGAUGAUACGCGAGGAACCUUACCCGGGCUUAAAUUGCAACUGACUGAACCGGAAACGGUUCUUUCUUCGGACAGUUGUGAAGGUGCUGCAUGGUUGUCGUCAGCUCGUGCCGUGAGGUGUCGGCUUAAGUGCCAUAACGAGCGCAACCCUUAUCGAUAGUUACCAUCAGGUUAUGCUGGGGACUCUGUCGAGACUGCCGUCGUAAGAUGUGAGGAAGGUGGGGAUGACGUCAAAUCAGCACGGCCCUUACGUCCGGGGCUACACA